rnacentral:ncRNA from 1 species
GGUUAAGUUAGAAAGGGCGCACGGUGGAUGCCUUGGCACUAGGAGCCUAAGAAGGACGCGACGAACGGCGAAACGCCUCGGGGAGCUGUAAGUGAGCUUUGAUCCGAGGAUCUCCGAAUGGGGGAACCCACCAUCCGUAAUGGGAUGGUACCCGUAUCUGAAUACAUAGGAUACGAGGAGGCAGACCUGGGGAACUGAAACAUCUAAGUACCCAGAGGAAGAGAAAGCAAAUGCGAUUUCCCAAGUAGCGGCGAGCGAAACGGAAACAGCCCAAACCAAGAGGCUUGCCUCUUGGGGUUGUAGGACACUCUAUACGGAGUAAGAAAGAAACGAAGUAGGUGAAACGGUCUGGAAAGGCCUGUCGUAGAGGGUAACAACCCCGUAACCGAAACUUUGUUUCCUCCAGAGUGU